AUCUUACAUUCUAGAGAAAAAGGGACAAUGUACAAUAGAUGAAGAAACUCUGAUUAGAGAGGUUUAAAUAACUUGACCAAGACAUGGGACACGUGAGCGUCAUGGCGAGGGACUGAACCUUGAUUGCUCUGACUUCAACUCCUGAGAUUCUAACGAUGGUCCUCCACCGCUGCUCAGAUCAAGGUUGACUCUGAUAUACCUAGAUAUGAUUUUCAUUGUAUUUGUCCUGCAUCAAGUUCACUGGACUUUUGGAAUCUGUAGAUUGAUGCCAGUAUUAACUUUGUAAAAAAACAAACAACAACAACAAAAAAAACUCAAUCAUUGCCUUUUGUCUAUUCCUUUUGUUCCAUUCUUUAUCUCUUCUCCUAGGAUUCCCAUGUUAAUCUACAUAUAUUAUCCCACGGGUCUCUGAUGCUCUGUUCUAUUCAUUAUUUUUUCUCUCUUGUUUAGAUAGUUUCAAUUCCCUGAUCCUUUCUUUUACUAUGUUUAAUCUCCUCCUACAGAAGGCUGAUUAACUUUAUUUAAUUUCAAUAAACUUUAUAUUUCAAAAAUUGAAAUUUUCAGUUCUAUUAUCAUUUAGUUCUUUAUAAAUGUCCUUUUUCCUGAACAAUUCCACAACUACUGAUCAUUUUAUGUAUCUUUUCUUCUAAACUUAUUAAUGUAUUUUGAUAGUGUUUUUAAAGCCCUAGUUUGGGACUUUGGGAUGUAAGCACCACUAUAUCCCCCUCUGCCUCUUAGCUCCCUCCCUAGUCAGUCAUGGUUUAUUUAACAAAAUAUGCUCUGUGGGAGAUUUGCAAAGUUGGGAUGAUGAAUUUUGCAUUUGGGGAUAUUUCAGAUUUUAAUUCCUCCUGAUAAACCACAUGUUCAUUAAAAAUACAAUUGUGUUAUCUUUGUGCUAACAAAGCCUUCCUGCCUUUGACAAGAUUGCUUUUCUGCCUUCCCAUAAACAAACAAGGCUGUGGCCCCCACAAAUGUGAGCAACUGCUUGUUCUCUUAUUUAACAAGGCCUCAUUCCUCUCUGAAAUUUAGUUCAUUUUGAACUUCUUUUCAUCUACAGCUUUUAGAUAGCUUUAGCGGAAAACAACACGAUUUAGUUUACCCAGUGUUUUCUUGUUACAUAAAGAAC
rnacentral:lncRNA from 1 species